GUGUCUGGGUUCAAGUGUAGGCCCGCCACAGCCACAAAGAUAUCCAGUAGGAAUUCACAGCCAGCACAACACCGAAGACUAAAACUAAACAAAAUAAAGGCUAAUAAUCUACUAUGACUGGGCACAAGCAACACACACAUUGAGUAAACAUUCCAUGGAGCUCGUGCGAGCGGCUAAUUCUUGGCUAAUAGGCUAUUCAAUUGGGACUCUGGUGGAGACUCUUCAUUAGCCUACCCACAGUAGAUGGUGAGGUCACACGUUGGGUCGAGGAGGAACUGAAGUACAGGAAAAACUGGUGGCUUCGACAGUUGACAAAGGUCAUCUUAAAGCUGCUGGAGGACCACACAUUUUCCCAGAAUUUGCAAAAUGCAGUUGGCAUAACACUGGAUCACAUUGUACCUAUACAGUACGAACAACAGCAACCCCCACCUAUGGCUAUGUGAGACGUUAGAGAAAGAUUAAGUAGGCGUUUAUACAUAGGCCCCU